AUUGAACGCUGGCGGCAGGCCUAACACAUGCAAGUCGAGCGGGGUUUUCGGACCUAGCGGCGGACGGGUGAGUAAUGCGUAGGAAGCUACCCGAUAGAGGGGGAUACCAGUUGGAAACGACUGUUAAUACCGCAUAAUGUCUACGGACCAAAGUGUGGGACCUUCGGGCCACAUGCUAUCGGAUGUGCCUACGUGGGAUUAGCUAGUUGGUGAGGUAAUGGCUCACCAAGGCGACGACCCCUAGCUGGGUUGAGAGGAUGAUCAGCCACACUGGAACUUAGACACGGUCCAGACUCCUACGGGAGGCAGCAGUGGGGAAUAUUGGACAAUGGGCGCAAGCCUGAUCCAGCCAUGCCGCGUGUGUGAAGAAGGCCUUCGGGUUGUAAAGCACUUUCAGUAAGGAGGAAGCGUUGAGUGUUAAUAGUACUCAGCGUUGACGUUACUUACAGAAGAAGCACCGGCUAACUCUGUGCCAGCCGCCGCAGUAACAC
rnacentral:rRNA from 1 species